GACGAACCGUGCGAACGUUGUUCGGAUUCACUGGGCUUAAAGGGCGCGUAGGCGGGCCGCCAAGUCUGUGGUGAAAGCCCCCGGCUUAACCGGGGAAGUGCCGUGGAUACUGGCGGUCUCGAGGGGUGCAGGGGCAUGUGGAACUUCCGGUGGAGCGGUGAAAUGCGUAGAUAUCGGAAGGAACGCCGGUGGCGAAAGCGACGUGCUGGACAACCUACUGACGCUGAGGCGCCGAAAAGCCCAGGGGAGCAAACGGGG
rnacentral:rRNA from 1 species